rnacentral:tRNA from 1 species
GCGGCGGUAGCUUAGUGGUAGAGCUCCCGGCUCAUACGCUGGGAGACGUGGGUUCGAUUCCACGUUGCCUUC